rnacentral:rRNA from 1 species
AGGAAUAUUGGUCAAUGGACGCAAGUCUGAACCAGCCAUGCCGCGUGCAGGAUGACGGCUCUAUGAGUUGUAAACUGCUUUUGUACGAGGGUAAACGCAGAUACGUGUAUCUGUCUGAAAGUAUCGUACGAAUAAGGAUCGGCUAACUCCGUGCCAGCAGCCGCGGUAAUACGGAGGAUUCAAGCGUUAUCCGGAUUUAUUGGGUUUAAAGGGUGCGUAGGCGGUUUGAUAAGUUAGAGGUGAAAUUUCGGGGCUCAACCCUGAACGUGCCUCUAAUACUGUUGAGCUAGAGAGUAGUUGCGGUAGGCGGAAUGUAUGGUGUAGCGGUGAAAUGCUUAGAGAUCAUACAGAACACCGAUUGCGAAGGCAGCUUACCAAACUAUAUCUGACGUUGAGGCACGAAAGCGUGGGGAGCAAACAGGAUUAGAUACCCUGGUAGUCCACGCAGUAAACGAUGAUAACUCGUUGUCGGCGAUACACAGUCGGUGACUAAGCGAAAGCGAUAAGUUAUCCACCUGGGGAGUACGUUCGCAAGAAUGAAACUCAAAGGAAUUGACGGGGGCCCGCACAAGCGGAGGAACAUGUGGUUUAAUUCGAUGAUACGCGAGGAACCUUACCCGGGCUUGAAAGUUAGCGACGAUUCUUGAAAGAGGAUUUCCCUUCGGGGCGCGAAACUAGGUGCUGCAUGGUUGUCGUCAGCUCGUGCCGUGAGGUGUCGGGUUAAGUCCCAUAACGAGCGCAACCCCUACCGUUAGUUGCCAUCAGGUGAAGCUGGGCACUCUGGCGGGACUGCCGGUGUAAGCCGAGAGGAAGGUGGGGAUGACGUCAAAUCAGCACGGCCCUUACGUCCGGGGCUACACACGUGUUACAAUGGUAGGUACAGAGGGCAGCUACCCAGCGAUGGGAUGCGAAUCUCGAAAGCCUAUCUCAGUUCGGAUUGGAGGCUGAAACCCGCCUCCAUGAAGUUGGAUUCGCUAGUAAUCGCGCAUGAGCCAUGGCGCGGUGAAUACGUUCCCG